rnacentral:rRNA from 1 species
GACGAACGCUGGCGGCGUGCCUAAUACAUGCAAGUAGAACGCUGAAGAGAGGAGCUUGCUCUUCUUGGAUGAGUUGCGAACGGGUGAGUAACGCGUAGGUAACCUGCCUGGUAGCGGGGGAUAACUAUUGGAAACGAUAGCUAAUACCGCAUAAAAUGGAUUAUCGCAUGAUAAUCCAUUGAAAGGUGCAAAUGCAUCACUACCAGAUGGACCUGCGUUGUAUUAGCUAGUUGGUGGGGUAACGGCUCACCAAGGCGACGAUACAUAGCCGACCUGAGAGGGUGAUCGGCCACACUGGGACUGAGACACGGCCCAGACUCCUACGGGAGGCAGCAGUAGGGAAUCUUCGGCAAUGGACGGAAGUCUGACCGAGCAACGCCGCGUGAGUGAAGAAGGUUUUCGGAUCGUAAAGCUCUGUUGUAAGAGAAGAACGAGUGUGAGAGUGGAAAGUUCAC